AUGACAGGAUCGUGUCAACUCUGGAUCCAUGAUUAUGGUGCUCUGGGAAGACCCUUAUAUGAGCUGCUAAAAGAAAAUCCAACCUUUCUAAAAUGGACAGAUCAAGCUGAAGAAGCGUUUAAAAGUUUAAAGACAGAACUCAUGAGAGCUCCAGCUCUGGGGCUCCUGAACAUGACUAAACACUUUUGCCUAUAUUCCUAUGAGAAACAGCAAAUAGCCUUGGGGGUUUUGGCUCAAAGAUUGGGAUCUUAUAAAAGAGCAGUGGCCUAUUGUUCAAAACAACUGGAUGAACAAAGUGAAGGCUGCCCUGGAUACUUGUGAGCAGUGGCAGCAGUCAUCUUAAACAUCCAAGAGGCCCAAAAAUUUACACUGGCACAAAAGAUCACCCUGUUAGUAUCACGUGCAGUAUCAACAGUCCUAGAACAAAAAGGUACACACUGGCUAUUGCCAUCACGUUUCUUGAAGUAUCAAGCCAUCCUAGUAGAACUGGAUGAUGUGGAAAUUGUGAUCACUAAUGUUGUGAAUCCAGCAUCUUUCCUUCAGGAAACCCCUACCGAACCAUCAACUCACAACUGCUUGGCCACAAUAGAGACAGUAUAUUCGAGCUGACCAGAUCUGAAGGAGGAGCCUCUGGAGGGUGCAGAUUCCUGGUUCACCGGUGGCAGCAGCUUUGUUAAAGAUGGUAAACGAAGAGCAGGAUAUGCCAUAACUACAACUUCAAAGAAUUUUGCAGGUGAUCCCCUAGAAGAGAAGUGGAGUGGACCAUACCAGGUAUUACUGACUACCUUUACAGCAGUGAAGAUAAAGGAACAGCCUGCUUGGAUACAUUACUCAAGAAUCAAGAAGGCACCAGAACCAGAAACACAUCAGAACCAAGAAAAA